AUUGAACGCUGGCGGCAGGCUUAACACAUGCAAGUCGGACGGUAACAGGGAGGAAGCUUGCUUUCUUUGCUGACGAGUGGCGGACGGGUGAGUAAUGCUUGGGAAUCUGUUUUAUGGAGGGGGAUAACUACGGGAAACUGUAGCUAAUACCGCGUAAUAUCGAGAGAUUAAAGUGUGGGACCGUAAGGCCACAUGCCAUAGAGUGAGCCCAAGUGGGAUUAGGUAGUUGGUGGGGUAAAGGCCUACCAAGCCGUCGAUCUCUAGCUGGUCUGAGAGGAUGACCAGCCACACUGGGACUGAGACACGGCCCAGACUCCUACGGGAGGCAGCAGUGGGGAAUAUUGCACAAUGGGCGCAAGCCUGAUGCAGCCAUGCCGCGUGAAUGAAGAAGGCCUUCGGGUUGUAAAGUUCUUUCGGUGGUGAGGAAGGUUGUAAUGUUAAUAGCAUUAUAAUUUGACGUUAGCCACAGAAGAAGCACCGGCUAACUCCGUGCCAGCAGCCGCGGUAAUACGGAGGGUGCGAGCGUUAAUCGGAAUAACUGGGCGUAAAGGGCACGCAGGCGGAUACUUAAGUGAGGUGUGAAAGCCCUGGGCUUAACCUAGGAAUUGCAUUUCAUACUGGGUAUCUAGAGUAUUUUAGGGAGGGGUAGAAUUCCACGUGUAGCGGUGAAAUGCGUAGAGAUGUGGAGGAAUACCGAGGGCGAAGGCAGCCCCUUGGGGGAAUACUGACGCUCAUGUGCGAAAGCGUGGGGAGCAAACAGG
rnacentral:rRNA from 1 species